GGGGGAUUAGCUCAAAUGGUAGAGUGCUUGCUUAGCAUGCGAAAGGUAGCGGGAUCAAUGCCUGCAUCCUCCA
rnacentral:tRNA from 1 species